rnacentral:rRNA from 2 species
GUCGAGGGGCAGCAUGAACUUAGCUUGCUAAGUUUGAUGGCGACCGGCGCACGGGUGAGUAACACGUAUCCAACCUUCCGUUUACUCAGGGAUAGCCUUUCGAAAGAAAGAUUAAUACCUGAUAGUAUGGUGAGAUUGCAUGAUAGCACCAUUAAAGAUUUAUUGGUAAACGAUGGGGAUGCGUUCCAUUAGGUAGUAGGCGGGGUAACGGCCCACCUAGCCGACGAUGGAUAGGGGUUCUGAGAGGAAGGUCCCCCACAUUGGAACUGAGACACGGUCCAAACUCCUACGGGAGGCAGCAGUGAGGAAUAUUGGUCAAUGGGCGAGAGCCUGAACCAGCCAAGUAGCGUGAAGGAUGAAGGUCCUACGGAUUGUAAACUUCUUUUAUACGGGAAUAAAGUAUCCUACGUGUAGGAUUUUGUAUGUACCGUAUGAAUAAGCAUCGGC